rnacentral:rRNA from 1 species
AGUCGACGGUGAUGAAGAGCUUGCUCUUUGGAUCAGUGGCGAACGGGUGAGUAACACGUGAGCAAUCUGCCCUUGACUCUGGGAUAACUGCGGGAAACUGUAGCUAAUACCGGAUAUGACCCAGGAAGGCAUCUUUUUGGGUGGAAAGAAUUUUGGUCAAGGAUGAGCUCGCGGCCUAUCAGCUAGUUGGUGAGGUAAUGGCUCACCAAGGCGACGACGGGUAGCCGGCCUGAGAGGGCGACCGGCCACACUGGGACUGAGACACGGCCCAGACUCCUACGGGAGGCAGCAGUGGGGAAUAUUGCACAAUGGGCGCAAGCCUGAUGCAGCAACGCCGCGUGAGGGACGAAGGCCUUCGGGUUGUAAACCUCUUUUAGUAGGGAAGAAGCGACUGGGUUUUCCUGGGAGUGACGGUACCUGCAGAAUAAGCACCGGCUAACUCCGUGCCAGCAGCCGCGGUAAUACGGAGGGUGCAAGCGUUGUCCGGAUUUAUUGGGUUUAAAGGGUGCGUAGGCGGCUGAUUAAGUCUGGGGUGAAAGCCCGUUGCUCAACAACGGAACUGCCCUGGAAACUGGUUAGCUUGAGUACAGACGAGGGUGGCGGAAUGGAUACUGUAGCGGUGAAAUGCAUAGAUAGUAUCCAGAACCCCGAUUGCGAAGGCAGCUGCCUAGACUGUAACUGACGCUGAGGCACGAAAGCGUGGGGAGCG